UUCCAGCUGACAAGUCCUAAAUUGGAUGAAACGCGUGUCCUGGAU
rnacentral:hammerhead_ribozyme from 1 species